GUGGCGCACGGGUGAGUAACACGUGGGAAUCUGCCCAUCUAUGGGGAAUAACUGCGGGAAACUGCAGCUAAUACCGCAUACGCCCUUCGGGGGAAAGGCUUCGGCCGUAGAUGGAUGAGCCCGCGUCCGAUUAGCUAGUUGGUGGGGUAACGGCCUACCAAGGCGACGAUCGGUAGCUGGUCUGAGAGGAUGAGCAGCCACACUGGGACUGAGACACGGCCCAGACUCCUACGGGAGGCAGCAGUGGGGAAUUUUCCGCAAUGGGCGAAAGCCUGACGGAGCAAUACCGCGUGAGGGAGGAAGGCUCUUGGGUUGUAAACCUCAAAACUUAGGGAAGAAAAAAAUGACGGUACCUAAUGUAAGCAUCGGCUAACUCCGUGCCAGCAGCCGCGGUAAUACGGAGGAUGCAAGCGUUAUCCGGAAUCAUUGGGCGUAAAGAGUCCGUAGGUGGCACUUCAAGUCUGCUUUCAAAGACCGAAGCUCAACUUCGGAAAGGGAGUGGAAACUGAAGAGCUAGAGUAUAGUAGGGGUAGAGGGAAUUCCUAGUGUAGCGGUGAAAUGCGUAGAGAUUAGGAAGAACACCAGUGGCGAAGGCGCUCUACUGGGCAUAUACUGACACUGAGGGACGAAAGCUAGGGGAGCGAAAGGGAUUAGAUACCCCUGUAGUCCUA
rnacentral:rRNA from 1 species